rnacentral:lncRNA from 11 species
GUAUGUUUCGUUCUUCAGUUCCUGUGUCGCUGUAUCGUUGAACUGCAGCCGAAAUCUCAGGCGGCGCUUGUUAUGCUGCAGGCUUGUGCAGUUCUCAUACUCGGCAGUCACCGUUUGCUUUUCAAGGUCCACAACAUACUGACAGUCCUGAAUUUCUUCCCCAUUGGCACCUAAGGACAAACAGGCAGAAAAUAUGGAGCAACAACACAAGCAAAUGCAAGAUAGAAAGAGAAUGGACCACAACUAGUACUAUACGACAUACCAAGUAUUUCUACUUGCCAAGAAGUUACAUUUUCAGAUUCCUUAGGAAGCCUGAUUUGGAAUUGAUCAUCAUGGCAAGAUAUCGAACCUGAAAGAAGAAAAAACAGGAAGAACAUAGCUUUUGACUCAAGCAACAGAAUGUACUCCUCUUUGUGCUGCA